rnacentral:lncRNA from 1 species
UCAGAUGAACACAGAGAGCUUUUAGCUUUCGUUAAGAUUUUUUAUUUGUCUAGUUUUCAAAUAGUCUUUUCCCUUUUUUUUUCUUUCUUUCUGAUAAGAAUUACCUCUUUAAGUUUGCAUUUCAAGGAGACGGUCCACAGUUCCUGGAGAAGACUGCAUAGAACAUUUACAUCUCAGAGGCACAGGGAAAGAAUGCAGUUUCCUCCAAGAAGGAUUUGUGAUUCUUAAAUGCAGAAUUUUACAAUGCCUUGCAAGCAUUUUGAGGUGAACAGGGGAAGUUUGAGAAUUAGUUAAAGGGAUAAGAGGGCUUGGAAUUGUUUCUAGAGCUACAUUUAUGUUGUUGUAAAGAUUUGCUUUGUAAGGCAGGUACAGAUGUUUUUAAUCCCUCAAAGAAUUGAAUUACAGCUUGAAUGAUAGCAAGACUGACCCAUUCAUUCAACUACAUUAUUUUUUUAUUUUUUUCAACCACGCCUGUGGCAUGUGGAAGUUCCUAGGCUAGCAGUUGAACCUGGGCUGUAGCAGUGACCGUAGCAGCUGCAGUGACAACACCAGAUCCUUAACCUGCUGUGCUACAAGGGAACUCCUCAACUAUUAUUUUUAAUUUGCCUUUUUAUGUCAGGGAGAUCUUUAAGAUGGAAAUCAAAAGAUUCCUAUGUUCUUGGUUUAGAGCUGUUUGUCCUUUUUUCUUUCUUUCUGGGUAUACAGUUUCGUUUAGUUUAGGGGAGAAGGCCUAGGAAAGCUUCCUUUCAUCUUUGAAUCUGACUAACUUCUGACCCUAGAGCCAAUUAAAAAAAAUUCUUUUGAAUAUUUUGUCAGAUUUCAGCUAGAACAAACAAUAAAUAUACCUGGCAUUACUGAACUUUCUCAUGAAUGAAAGACACAUUCCCUAAAGAAGUGCUAAAGGUGUGACCCUCCCAAGAUCCAGAGCCAUUUUUGUUACCAAACUGAAUUUGGAUCUGCUCUGUGGAUGUGCAGCAAAGCAACCUAGUGAUACAGGGUUGUGGUGAAGGAAAGUACAGCAUUGAGUGCAGGGUGCCAAGCAAGGAGAACAGGCAUCUCAUGCUGAAAAGACCAAAACUCUGAUGACUUUCAGGCAGGGUUUUUUUUUUUUUUGUCUUUUUUUUGUUGUUGUUGCUAUUUCUUGGGCCGCUCCCGCGGCAUAUGGAGGUUCCCAGGCUAGGGGUUGAAUCGGAGCUAUAGCCACCGGCCUACGCCAGAGGCACAGCAACGCGGGAUCCGAGCCGCGUCUGCAACCUACACCAUAGCUCACGGCAACGCCGGAUCGUUAACCCACUGAGCAAGGCCAGGGACGGAACCCGCAACCUCAUGGUUCCUAGUCGGAUUCGUUAACCACUGCGCCACGACGGGAACUCCUAGGCAGGGGUUUUUAAAGGCAGCAUUAGGGGGUCAGGGUCACAAGAUGUGUGAUCAAGUCAUGGACUUUCUUCUUAUUGGUUGUUGGUGAGGUAACAGGUGAUGUUUCAAGAGUCUUAGUCAUCACCAUUCUGGUUCUAAUCAGUCUAGGGUCUCUGUGCUUGUGGUCAGCAUGUAGUCAACAUCCUCCACCUGGGUGGUGGCAGGGUGGGGGCAGGGUCUUGCUUUUUGCAGAACAACUCAAAGAUAUGGGUCAGAUUGUUAUGUACAUCCCUUGAGGAAGAACUGUGAGUCCUGUGACUCUGUUUUAUUGCUGAGCUGUUGUUUAAGCUGUUAUUAUUUUUCUUGCUUGAUUGCUUUUCCUUUGUUUCUGCAUUCCCUCUCUUUUCUUUAUUUUUUCUUUUUUGUCUUUUUUGCCAUUUCUUGGACUGCUCCCACGGCAUAUGGGAGGUUCCCAGGCUAGGGGUCUAAUCGGAGCUGUAGCCGCCAGCCUAUGCCAGAGCCACAGCAACGUGGGAUCCGAGCCGCGUCUGCAACCUACACCACAGCUCACGGCAACGCCGGAUCGUUAACCCACUGAGCAAGGGCAGGGAUCGAACCCACAACCUCAUGGUUCCUAGUUGGAUUCGUUAACCACUGCGCCACGACGGGAACUCCCUCCUCUCUUUUCUAAUCUUUGUUUGAGUCUGCUUUUUCGAACUCAGGGAUGGCCAAAUAAGAAGCUGAGGACAUGGAGGGGCUUGUCCUUAAAAGGGCCCACUCAGUUUCAUUGUGACCCCAGAUCCAGUCUGAUUUCUAAGUCACACCCACUCUGGAAAAAGAAAUGGUCAAAUAAAAUCUGAAAGCUCAUAACGAAAAGUGUGGAGCUAGGAUCUGAGAGGGGUUUAUCUACUACCUCCAGAGGCAGUGAGAAAAGCAAGUGAGCUCAAGGGACUCAACAGGUAUCUCUUCCUCAUUGCCCAUUACUCCUAGACACUGGGGAGUAGAGUGGGGGUGAGGUUGCUCCUUCAGUCCCCUCUUCUGACAUAAGAACUGUUAAAGAUCAACUGAGGCAUAUUGAAAAUUUUAAGAAAUUAUUUGAGCAAAAAUUUAUUUAAAUUGAGCAAUGCCAACCAGAAGUGGUUAGAAAUGCUCCAUUGACAGGAGCUAGGGAGAGGCUUUUUAGAGAAAAGGUGGAAGCAAAGUAAGGAAAUUGUUGAUUGACUAUAGCCUAAAGCCUGAUUGGUGAUUUGGUUGUUAUUAGUGUUUUGAUUUUGUAACCUUGAGGUGCAUUGUAUAUAGGCUUAAAGUUUGGUUUGCUUAUGAGGGCCACCCCAGCGUUAGAACCCCCUUGGACUUCUUGUUUAACGAAUUUAACAGAAGGUAUGAUUCUAAAUACUCGUUAGGUGUUCUUUACUGUCUAUUACACCUUCCCAGGAACAAACCCUCUCCCCGUCUCUGUAUUCUGCCUUCUAGUAGUCACACCUGUCUCUUGUCAGUUCUUUGGUUUUGUUGUGUUUUUGUCCCUUGUUGGGUCAAGGUUGGUUUGGUCUGUGGAAAUAACUAAUAACUUAUUUCCCACUCUGUAGAGCUCUGGGGUGAGUUAAAUCUGCUAAAGUUUAUGAGUGGCAGCAGUCCCCAUUGGUGGAUGUAGUAGCAGUUCAUUUAUUUGGGAACUAGUUAUACUGAAUGAUGCCAGCUGAACAGGAAUCCCAGAGAUUUGCUUUCGUAUAGAUUUGACAUUUGAACUCAGUGAAGAAUGACCCCACUUUUUCUAGCUGUUAUAAGUCCCUUUGAGGUCCAAAUUUCACUUGUGCAAUCUGAGAACAUUUUUUGCUUUCAUUUGGUAUGGCUGGGGGUGGGAGAGUGGAAGUCAGUUGUUUAAAAGGAGGCUCUGUGUUCAUGCUGACUCUCUAAUCUGUUUCAUAGGAGAAUUUCCAUAGGGAUUCUAGGAAGAGAAACAAAUGGCUUCUGCAACAUUUGCUCUAUUAAACAUUCCAGUGGCUGGGUCUGUGGCCAGCAGGGCAGCCAAAACCUAAAGAAUUUCAAGGAGCAUGUAUCUGGACACAAUAUUAAUUGUUUCACAUCAGCAACUUUGUGUAUAGUGCUAUGGGGACAUCAGUGUUUUCUUUUGUUAGAUCCCGGCUAACUCCAAGCAUUUAUUCAAAAAGGUUUCAAUUAGAAAAGAGAAUAGAGAGAGCUUGAGAAAGUUAAUGAGAGGCACUGAUUUUUCACUGUAAAUUUCUUCCUCUUUCCUUCUUCUGUAGUCAGAUGCUAAAUGCUUGAAUUUUCUUGGGUUCUCUUUUCCUAGGGAAGGGCAGAGUGUAACUGGGAGAAGCAGAUUUCUGAAUGCUGUAGUCUAAACAGCUGGCAUUGGAAACAGGCGUGGAAGUAGAGACUUCUGGUGAUUUGAACAAAGCCCAAACAUGCCUGAGGUUAACUUGAUUUACAGGAAUCAGCAGAACCUGGAAAAGAACCAAGCUCUGAAGCCUUUGUUUGGAAAGUUUUGCAGGCUAGCCAGAUAUAAAUAAAGCUUUUCCAUCAGGAUUUCAAAACAAAACACUAAAAAAACAGAGGGUGCCUUUAUCUUUCCUUGCUACUGGCCAGGUUUUGAGUUCAAUUAAAGGACUAGUGAGUUGGAUGUGGAAAAACAUACAAUCAGUUUCUUUGAGCAAUUCAAGAAUCUUUCCCAUUCUGGAACAUAUAACACUGCAGGAGUGGAUUUAUUUCCAUUGCCAAAGGCAAAAGUUAAUUAGUUAAUAUUUCAUGAUGUUUUUAUUGUGAUUCACUAGUGGGAAGACUUACACUAUAAGCUGGGGCAAUGUCAAGUUGACACUGGAAGUAAAAGUGACUUAGAAAUGCCAUACAGAGGGUAUGCCAAUGCACCUACCACUCCUAGAUGUCAUCUCUGGCUCAGCCACCUAAAGAAGACCUCAGCAUCCUCCUUUGUGCAAUGGUGGUACUAAAAAUACUGAUUUUAAAAAUAGUCUAGUGAAAAACCAUAUAUAAGUAUAAACUGUGAAGGUUCCAGUAUUCUGUAGUGUCUGUACACUGUGGUCUCACCCUCACACAUAGAUUUAUCUACUCAGGCAUUCAAAAAUAUUUUUGGACUCAGAACAGUCCUUGUAGACACUGAGUAUUUGCUGAAUGAAAGAAUGUUUUGUGGCAAAGCAUCAUCAUUUUCCUCUAUAUCAGGGGGUUAGUAAGCUAUAACCACAGACCUCUUUUCCUUUAUUUAUUUAUUUUUUUGGUCUUUCAUCUUUUUAGGGCCUCACUUGUGGCAUAUGGAGGUUCCCAGGCCAGGGGUCUAAUCGGAGCUACAGCUGCUGGCCAACACCACAACCACAGCAACGCCAGAUCCGAGCUGUAUCUGCAACCUACAUGGCAACACUGGAUCCCCAACCCACUGGCGAGGCCAGAGAUCGAACCUGUGUCCUCAUGGAUACUAGUCGGGUUCAUUAACCACUGAGCCACGACAGUAACUCCAAGACCUCUUUUCUAAAUAAAGCUUUAUUGGAAUACAGCGAUACUCAGUGUUGACUAGGACUGGUUUUUUCCUACUACAGCAGAGGUGAGUAGUUGUGACAGAAGCCAUUUGGCCUGAAAUGUCCAAACUAUUUACCAUCUGGCCUUUUAUGGAGAAACUUUGCCAGUCUUUGCUCUACCUCUAAACUUUUCUACCUUCCCCUAAAAAUGUCUGCAUGAAUGUUCCUGGAGCUGUAUUUCUCAAAGUAUGUUUCAGGGAGCACUAAUUCUAUCAGUGUUCUGUCUUAGGAAGUUCGGAAUAGAAAUAUAUGAUAUAUAUUGUUAAGUCUG